rnacentral:ncRNA from 1 species
ACUGGGGAGCUGAAAGGCUGAGAGUAGUUUACGAACUUAACCCAUUUAACCUGAUACGGAUAAUGCCGACGAAGGGAGUAUUUUAUU